GGGUACACAUGGUGGGACUAAUGUCU
rnacentral:piRNA from 1 species